CACCUAGCUUAACUAUAUAAUUAGUCACUGGUACAGACUGGCCCGUACAGUCCAAUUGCAUUUUGCCAUUGAAAAAUCAUAUCGAUACAUUGCCAUUUUAAGAAAGAAAAAUUACCCCCAUUAUAGUGUUAAUUAACUGUGUCAAAUGGGUCAUUUGUCCUGGAUGGAUAAGAGAUGUGCUAUCUCACCUUAACAAAGUGCUACAUGUGGCAUUUAAAAUGAGAAUCUGUUGCAAUAAGAACUUAUUAAUAGGUUUAGUGUAUCUUUUGACAUGGUCGAGAAAGAGAAUUAUGUUUGGCGACUUUAUAAUGUGAAAUUAUAUCAUAAUCAAUAUUUUCACUCUUAAAUAUUAAUACUCAGGACUCUCCCAUUGAUAGCCCAAUGAUAGGUAAAAUUAUCUCUGUCAUUAUACCGUAA
rnacentral:lncRNA from 1 species